CCUACGGGUGGCUGCAGUGGGGAAUAUUGGACAAUGGGCGAAAGCCUGAUCCAGCCAUGCCGCGUGUGUGAAGAAGGCCUUCGGGUUGUAAAGCACUUUCAGUGGGGAAGAAAGCCUUGGGGCUAAUACCCUCGAGGAAGGACAUCACCCACAGAAGAAGCACCGGCUAACUCCGUGCCAGCAGCCGCGGUAAUACGGAGGGUGCGAGCGUUAAUCGGAAUUACUGGGCGUAAAGCGCGCGUAGGCGGUCUGAUAAGCCGGUUGUGAAAGCCCCGGGCUCAACCUGGGAACGGCAUCCGGAACUGUCAGGCUAGAGUACAGGAGAGGAAGGUAGAAUUCCCGGUGUAGCGGUGAAAUGCGUAGAGAUCGGGAGGAAUACCAGUGGCGAAGGCGGCCUUCUGGACUGACACUGACGCUGAGGUGCGAAAGCGUGGGUAGCAAACAGGAUUAGAUACCCCAGUAGUC
rnacentral:rRNA from 1 species